GAUGUAUAACACUAGAAGAAUACAAAAGCUUCUCAGCAGGAAGUGCAGAAAUGGCCACUAGGCUAUACAAAUACUUUGACAAAUUUAACACCAGCUGUGUUAAUGCGACCAGUGUUUCCUGGGUGUUUGCUACCAUGGACGCCAAUAACAACGGGGCGGUGACAAUGGCAGAGUUUCAACAGUACUUUAUGACUCUGCUGCAGUCACUGUUCCAUGUAACUACCAUGCCAGUUGGAUGAACAGCUAGCCUCAAUUCCUCUCUAAAAAUGAAUAGAACUAAAAGGAUCAACUAUAUGAAAUUGAAUAAAUCAAAUUAUUGGAAUUGUAAUGACAAUAUAUAAAUUUGGUGUUAUAAAAAGUAAAUAGUCAAUAACUGA